AAAUCGUCGAUGACGAAGAAAGUAACGGUUUUAUCUUGUCAGCCAGCGAAUCAGGAAACGGUGGAAGCCUGAAUGGACAAAGAAAUCGUGAAACGCACUUCAGAGACGCUAUCCGAAUCGUAACGAUCAGGCGUAGCCGGGGGAACCCCGUUAUCCCCAACUAAGGUGGGUGUCGAAAACGACGCCAAGAAGAGUGGUACCGCGGUCAUUCCGUCUCUUUG
rnacentral:ncRNA from 2 species